UUACGCUGUUAUCCCCAAGGUAAUUUAAUUUAAAUUUAAAAAAAUAAAGUUAUUAUUCAUAAAUCAAUGAUUAAAAUUAAAAGAGUUAAUUAAAUCUUUUAGUCACCCCAACUAAUUUCUUAAUUAAUAAUAUUAUACUAAAAAUUUUUAAGAAUAAAACUCUAUGGGGUCUUCUCGUCUUUAAUAUAUAUUUAAGAAUUUUAACUUAAAAAUUAAAUUCAAAAAAAAAUUAAAAAGAGACAGAAAUUCUCUUGUCAAAUCAUUCAUACAAGUCUCUAAUUAAGAGACUAAUUAUCACGCUACCUUUGCACAGUCAAAAUACUGCGGCUAUUUAACUUAUCAUUGAGCAGAAUUAGACCUUAANNNNNNNUCAAAGGACAUGUUUUUAUAAACAGGCAGAAAAUUAUUUUGCCGAAUUCCUUUUUUUAACCUAACAAAAAUAAAUAAAAUAAAAUAUAUUAUUACUAAUUUUAUCAUUAUUAAAAGCAAUUAACAAGUAAAUACUUUAUUUUAAUAAAAUAAUUAAAUAAAAAAAAAUCUUUUAAUUUAAAUACAUAAAUAUUAAUUUAUUAAAGAUUAACAAUACAAAUUAUACUAAAUACUAACAAAUACUAUUAUUAUAAUUAUAUAUUUAAAAGCUCAUCCCAUUAAACAUUAUAUAUUAAAACUUAAGAAUUAAAAAUAAAAACUUAAAAAAUAAUAACAGAAUUAAAUUCCUUUCUUAAAAAACUAGAUAUAUUUAAAAUCGAAUAGCGUUUCACCUCCAAUUAAUUAUUAAAAAAAAUUUUUUAACAUUUAAAUAAAUAAUUAAUUAAAUCUUUUAAAUUCGGGAAGAUUAAAAUAAUAAAUUUUAAUUGAUCAACCCUGAUCCACAAGGUACAAAAAUUAAAUUUUUCUUUUUAAAUAAUUUUUCUUAUUAAUAAUAAAAUAAAGUUUUUUCUAUAAAAACAAAUAAAUAAUCUAAUUAUAAUCAAAUUAUACUGAAUUGAACAAUAAUCUUUUUAAUGUAAAUAAAACGCUUACAUAAAGCUUAAAUUUGUAUUCUAGAUACACUUUCCAGUACAUCUACUUUGUUACGACUUAUCUCAAAUAAAUUGAGAGCGACGGGCAAUAUGUACAUAUUUUAGAACAAUAAUCAUCACAAAUAAUUUAAUAUAAUUACAAUCAAAUCCAAUUUAUAUUAAAAAUUUAAAUUUAAUAACCAAAAAUAAAUUUAUUGUAACCCAUCUCUUCUUACCCAUAAGCUGCACCUUGAUCUGAAAUGAUUUCAAAUAAAAAUAAAAGAAAAUUAACCCUAUAAGGAAAUUCAUUACAACGAUAUACAAACUUAAAGAACAAGUAAAAUAUAUCGUGGACUAUCAAUUAUAGGACAGGUUCCUCUGAAUUGAUUAAAAUACCGCCAAAUUUUUUAAUUUUCAAGAACAUA
rnacentral:rRNA from 1 species